AACGAACGCUGGCGGCAGGCCUAACACAUGCAAGUCGAGCGCUCUCUUCGGAGAGAGCGGCAGACGGGUGAGUAACGCGUGGGAACCUACCUUUUGGUACGGAAUAACUCAGGGAAACUUGUGCUAAUACCGUAUGUGCCCUUCGGGGGAAAGAUUUAUCGCCAAAAGAUGGGCCCGCGUUGGAUUAGUUUGUUGGUGGGGUAACGGCCUACCAAGACGACGAUCUAUAGCUGGUCUGAGAGGACGAUCAGCCACACUGGGACUGAGACACGGCCCAG
rnacentral:rRNA from 1 species